GACGAACGCUGGUGGCAUGCCUAACACAUGCAAGUCGAACGAGACCUUCGGGUCUAGUGGCGCACGGGUGCGUACCGCGUGGGAACCUGCCCUUAGGUUCGGAAUAACUCCCCGAAAGGGGUGCUAAUACCGGAUAAUGUCUUCGGACCAAAGAUUUAUCGCCUUUGGAUGGGCCGGCGUUGGAUUAGCUAGUUGGUAGGGUAAAAGCCUACCAAGGCGACGAUCCAUAGCUGGUCUGAGAGGAUGAUCAGCCACACUGGGACUGAGACACGGCCCAGACUCCUACGGGAGGCAGCAGUGGGGAAUAUUGGACAAUGGGCGAAAGCCUGAUCCAGCAAUGCCGCGUGAGUGAUGAAGGCCUUAGGGUUGUAAAGCUCUUUUACCCGGGAUGAUAAUGACAGUACCGGGAGAAUAAGCUCCGGCUAACUCCGUG
rnacentral:rRNA from 1 species